ACAGCCACAACACGUUGAAACACCGGUUCCUGUACGAUCACUGAAGUUAAGCAACGUCGAUCCUGGUUAAUAUCUAAAUGGAUGACCGCUUGGGAAUAUCAGGUGCUGG